GCCUGGGUGGCUCAGUCGGUUGAGCGUCUGACUUCGGCUCAGGUCAUGAUCUCACGGUUUGUGGGUUCGAGCCCCGCGUUGGGCU
rnacentral:tRNA from 1 species